UACAAGCAAAAAUAAAGUGAAACCGCAAAAGGCUCAUUAUAUCAGUUAUGGUUCCUUAGAUCGUAUCCACAAUUACUUGGAUAACUGUGGUAAUUCUAGAGCUAAUACAUGCAUUAAAGAGAGACCGGUAAAACGGAAUCUCUGCUUUUAUUAGAUUUAAACCAAUGGGGAGUGUUUCGGCACUCUCAAUUCAAAUGGUUGAACUCUGGAUAAUUUGUUGAUCGCAUGGUCUCGUACCGGCGACGGAUCUUUCAAAUGUCUGCUCUAUCAACUAUUGAAGGUAGUGUCUUGGACUACCUUGGUUGCAACGGGUAACGGGGAAUCAGGGUUCGAUUCCGGAGAGGGAGCCUGAGAAACGGCUACCACAUCUAAGGAAGGCAGCAGGCGCGUAAAUUACCCACUCCCAGCACGGGGAGGUAGUGACGAAAAAUAACAAUACAAGACUCACAUCCGAGGCCUUGUAAUUGGAAUGAGUACACUUUAAAUCCUUUAGCGAGGAUCCAUUGGAGGGAAAGCCUGGUGCCAGCAGCCGCGGUAAUUCCAGCUCCAAUAGCGUAUAUUAAAGUUGUUGCGGUUAAAACGUUCGUAGUUGAACUUGUGUUUCGCACGGGUAGUACCUAGGACUGGGCAACCAGGACGGUAUCUUAUCUUACUUUCUAUCUAUUUCAUAGGUAGAAAAUGUGCGUGAACGUAUUAUCGGCGUGUUCGUUCUUGCAACGUUCACAUAAGCUCAUCUCGAUGCUCUUAAACGAGUGUUGUUGUGAGCCGAUACGAAUUACUUUGAACAAAUUAGAGUGCUUAAAGCAGGCUUGUAAUGCCUGAAUAUUUUGUGCAUGGAAUAAUGAAAUAGGACAUCUGUUCUACUUUCAUUGGUUUUUUAGACCAAGAUGUAAUGAUUAAUGGAAGCAGUUGGGGGCAUUAGUAUUACAACGCGAGAGGUGAAAUUCUUAGACCGUUGUAAGACUGACUAAAGCGAAAGCAUUUGCCAAAGAUGUUUUCACUUAAUCAAGAACGAAAGUUAGAGGUUNNNNNNNNNNNNNNNNNNNNNNNNNNNNNNNNNNNNNNNNNNNNNNNNNNNNAAUUGAAUGUAGCUACUACUAUGGCUCUUUCAGUCGCUUCUCGGGAAACCAAAGCUUUUGGGCUCCGGGGGAAGUAUGGUUGCAAAGCUGAAACUUAAAGGAAUUGACGGAGGGGCACCACCAGGAGUGGAGCCUGCGGCUUAAUUUGACUCAACACGGGAAAACUUACCAGGUCCGAACANNNNNNNNNNNNNNNNNNNNNNNNNNNNNNNNNNNNNNNAUGGGUGGUGGUGCAUGGCCGUUCUUAGUUCGUGGAGUGAUUUGUCUGGUUAAUUCCGAUAACGAACGAGACUCAAAUAUAUUAAAUAGAUGCAUUCAGGAUUAUGAUAUUGAAACUUUGCAUACCCUUUGUCAUGGUGAUCGGUUCGCCGGUUGUUGUGGCAUGUUGUGGUCGUGUAGGUGGAGUCAUACCUGUUUGUUUGUCUAAAUACACAAAAUAGACACUUAGCUUCUUAAAUGGACAAAUUGUGUCUAACAAUAAUGAGAUUGAGCAAUAACAGGUCUGUGAUGCCCUUAGAUGUCCUGGGCUGCACGCGCGCUACAAUGAAGGUAUCAACGUGUAUUUCCUAGGCCGAGAGGUCCGGGUAAACCGCUGAACCACCUUCUUGCUUGGGAUUGUGGACUGAAACUGUUCACAUGAACCUGGAAUUCCCAGUAAGUGCGAGUCAUUAACUUGCAUUGAUUACGUCCCUGCCCCUUGUACACACCGCCCGUCGCUACUACCGAUUGAAUUGUUUAGUGAGGUCUUCGGACGUGAUCGCUGCGACGCCUCGUGUGUUGCAGUUGCUUCACAGAAGUUGACCGAACUUGGUUAUUUAGAGGAAGUAAAAGUCGUAACAAGGUUUC
rnacentral:rRNA from 1 species